CCCGCACAAGCGGAGGAACAUUGUGGUUUAAUUCGAUGAUACGCGAGGAACCUUACCUGGGCUUAAAUGUAGAGUGCAUUAGUGGGAAACCAUUAUUUUCUUUCGGAACUCUUUGCAAGGUGCUGCAUGGUUGUCGUCAGCUCGUGCCGUGAGGUGUCGGGUUAAGUCCCAUAACGAGCGCAACCCUUAUCGUUAGUUGCCAGCGGGUAAUGCCGGGAACUCUAGCGAAACUGCCGGUGUAAACCGAGAGGAAGGUGGGGAUGACGUCAAAUCAGCACGGCCCUUAUGUCCAGGGCUACACACGUGUUACAAUAGCCGGUACAGAGGGCAGCUACCUGGAGACAGGAUGCGAAUCUCGAAAGCCGGUCUCAGUUCGGAUCGGAGUCUGCAACUCGACUCCGUGAAGCCGGAAUCGCUAGUAAUCGCGGAUCAGCCAUGCCGCGGUGAAUACGUUCCCGGGCCUU
rnacentral:rRNA from 1 species